UACAGAGGUCUCGAGCGUUGUUCGGAUUCAUUGGGCGUAAAGGGUGCGUAGGUGGCGUGGUAAGUCGGAUGUGAAAUCCCGGGGCUCAACCCCGGAACUGCAUUCGAUACUGCCUUGCUAGAGUACUGGAGAGGAGAUUGGAAUUUACGGUGUAGCAGUGAAAUGCGUAGAUAUCGGGAGGAACACCUGAGGCGAAGGCGGCUAC
rnacentral:rRNA from 1 species